AUGAACGCUAGCUACAGGCUUAACACAUGCAAGUCGAGGGGCAGCAUUUUAGUUUGCUUGCAAUCUGAAGAUGGCGACCGGCGCACGGGUGAGUAACACGUAUCCAACCUGCCGAUAACUCCGGAAUAGCCUUUCGAAAGAAAGAUUAAUACCGGAUGGCAUACGAAUAUCGCAUGAUAUUUUUAUUAAAGAAUUUCGGUUAUCGAUGGGGAUGCGUUCCAUUAGUUUGUUGGCGGGGUAACGGCCCACCAAGACUACGAUGGAUAGGGGUUCUGAGAGGAAGGUCCCCCACAUUGGAACUGAGACACGGUCCAAACUCCUACGGGAGGCAGCAGUGAGGAAUAUUGGUCAAUGGGCGAGAGCCUGAACCAGCCAAGUAGCGUGAAGGAUGAAGGCUCUAUGGGUCGUAAACUUCUUUUAUAUGGGAAUAAAGUUUUCCACGUGUGGAAUUUUGUAUGUACCAUAUGAAUAAGGAUCGGCUAACUCCGUGCCAGCAGCCGCGGUAAUACGGAGGAUCCGAGCGUUAUCCGGAUUUAUUGGGUUUAAAGGGAGCGUAGGUGGAUUGUUAAGUCAGUUGUGAAAGUUUGCGGCUCAACCGUAAAAUUGCAGUUGAAACUGGGAGUCUUGAGUACAGUAGAGGUGGGCGGAAUUCGUGGUGUAGCGGUGAAAUGCUUAGAUAUCACGAAGAACUCCGAUUGCGAAGGCAGCUCACUAGACUGUCACUGACACUGAUGCUCGAAAGUGUGGGUAUCAAACAGGAUUAGAUACCCUGGUAGUCCACACAGUAAACGAUGAAUACUCGCUGUUUGCGAUAUACAGUAAGCGGCCAAGCGAAAGCAUUAAGUAUUCCACCUGGGGAGUACGCCGGCAACGGUGAAACUCAAAGGAAUUGACGGGGGCCCGCACAAGCGGAGGAACAUGUGGUUUAAUUCGAUGAUACGCGAGGAACCUUACCCGGGCUUAAAUUGCAACAGAAUAUAUUGGAAACAGUAUAGCCGUAAGGCUGUUGUGAAGGUGCUGCAUGGUUGUCGUCAGCUCGUGCCGUGAGGUGUCGGCUUAAGUGCCAUAACGAGCGCAACCCUUAUCUUUAGUUACUAACAGGUUAUGCUGAGGACUCUAGAGAGACUGCCGUCGUAAGAUGUGAGGAAGGUGGGGAUGACGUCAAAUCAGCACGGCCCUUACGUCCGGGGCUACACACGUGUUACAAUGGGGGGUACAGAAGGCGGCUACCUGGUGACAGGAUGCUAAUCCCAAAAACCUCUCUCAGUUCGGAUCGAAGUCUGCAACCCGACUUCGUGAAGCUGGAUUCGCUAGUAAUCGCGCAUCAGCCAUGGCGCGGUGAAUACGUUCCCGGGCCUUGUACACACCGCCCGUCAAGCCAUGAAAGCCGGGGGUACCUGAAGUACGUAACCGCAAGGAGCGUCCUAGGGUAAAACUGGUAAUUGGGGCU
rnacentral:rRNA from 1 species